UGUAUUUGUUACACCCAAGACAGCUGUAGCUGUGUUCAAGCCCAGCUGGAUGCUAGAACUGCGAGCCACUGUGACCUUGCCGUGUGAGGACCAAACGGACCCUGUGAGCAUGGGGCUGCCAGUGAAAGGAGGAUGCCUGGGAAUGAAAUCAAUAGAAGAGAUGCAGAAAGCCUAUGGAAAAACAGCGUGCUGAUACUAUUUGACACAGCAAUGAUUAUUUCUUACCUUUGGCACCUUCCUGCAUUUUUAUUCUGUUCAGCCUCUUCUGCUGCUCUCUUAGCAGGGCUUGCUGCUGAAUCUCUAAGGUGUGAUGAUCUCUUGGAGGAUCCGGGUACAUAAAUUUCAGAUCAACUCGUGUUUCUGAAUCUGGUAUAAAAAAUAUGUUAUAUAACUAAGUUAAA